GACGAACGCGGCGGCGUGCCUAAUACAUGCAAGUAGAACGCUGAAGGAGGAGCUUGCUUCUCCGGAUGAGUUGCGAACGGGUGAGUAACGCGUAGGUAACCUGCCUGGUAGCGGGGGAUAACUAUUGGAAACGAUAGCUAAUACCGCAUAAUAGUAGAUGUUGCAUGACAUUUGCUUAAAAGGUGCAAUUGCAUCACUACCAGAUGGACCUGCGUUGUAUUAGCUAGUUGGUGGGGUAACGGCUCACCAAGGCGACGAUACAUAGCCGACCUGAGAGGGUGAUCGGCCACACUGGGACUGAGACACGGCCCAGACUCCUACGGGAGGCAGCAGUAGGGAAUCUUCGGCAAUGGACGGAAGUCUGACCGAGCAACGCCGCGUGAGUGAAGAAGGUUUUCGGAU
rnacentral:rRNA from 1 species